rnacentral:lncRNA from 1 species
UGAGGGUAAUUAAGUUGUGUAGAUCCUAAGGAACUGUCAUGCAGUUAAAGUCAAUAUUAUGUGCUCUCCAUCCAAUGAUCUUAGCUACUUCUGUCCUUAGAAGUAUGCAACCACUUACACCUACCAUAUUCACUAUGUGCUACUUCUGUUCCUCGAAGUAUCACCCAUAUAUACGCACUACACUAUGUGUUGUUUCUAUCCUGGAGACACGCACCUAUGCUACUCGUACCCUGGGAGUAUGCAUUCCUCUAUUCAUUCACCCAUACAUAUUUCACAUCCACUUAGAAAAUGUUCUACUCCUACACUAGGAGAAGACACCCAAAAAUAUUCGUUAUGUAUUAUUCAACUUAUCUAAUAAAGCUCUAGUUAUUUCAGUUGAUAUUCCCUAUUGUUAUCAGUACAUUAAAAGGGUUGGCUGAUCUAAAAAAGAGAAAAGAAAAGAAAGAGAACAAAAGUCCCAAAAGAAAAGAAAGACAGCCAAGUCCUUAUUUUUAGAAUAGGGAAAUAAGUUAUCCCCAAGGAGCAAAAGCGGAAUUAGAUAUUAACCAUCAGUUAUCACCCCUCAUUGUUACCCUCACUAUUAUCAUUACUCACUUCAUUCAUUGUACUAACAUGCACAUAUGGCUUGAUUGUGUAAUUAGUUUUUCUAGAUCCACAGUUUAACUAUGCAAUACAUGCAAGUAGGUUUGAAUUGUCUUUUCCACCUAUGAGCUCCACAUAAGCCAAUUAGAAAUAGGGUGGGAGAGAGAAGGCAACUAUGCCUUAGUCCUACAAAUACUAGCUAUUCUGAGAGAAGGCAUAUUCACUUGCCUUGGAGAGGAUCCAAAAUACAACUUAUGAGAGAUUGGAAAUAGUCAUACAAGGAAUCUCUGAGUUUUAUUUGAAAAUAUUGCAAAAACUCUGGAAUAAUAGUUGAUCAAAAGAGUGAAUAGCAUAGUGCUUGACUUAACUAUUCUAUCUUUCAACUGC